CCUACGGGCGGCAGCAGUGAGGAAUAUUGGUCAAUGGGCGCGAGCCUGAACCAGCCAAGUAGCGUGAAGGAUGACUGCCCUACGGGUUGUAAACUUCUUUUAUAAAGGAAUAAAGUGAGGCACGUGUGCCUUUUUGUAUGUACUUUAUGAAUAAGGAUCGGCUAACUCCGUGCCAGCAGCCGCGGUAAUACGGAGGAUCCGAGCGUUAUCCGGAUUUAUUGGGUUUAAAGGGAGCGUAGAUGGGUUGUUAAGUCAGUUGUGAAAGUUUGCGGCUCAACCGUAAAAUUGCAAUUGAUACUGGCAGUCUUGAGUACAGUUGAGGUAGGCGGAAUUCCCGGUGUAGCGGUGAAAUGCGUAGAGAUCGGGAGGAACACCAGUGGCGAAGGCGGCCUACUGGGCUUUAACUGACGCUGAGGCACGAAAGCGUGGGUAGCAAACAGGAUUAGAUACCCCUGUAGUC
rnacentral:rRNA from 1 species